UACAGAGGCCCCAAGCGUUACUGAGAAUCACUGGGUUUAAAGCGUGCGCAGGCGGUUCGCUAAGACCGAUGUGAAAUCCCCGGGCUUAACCUGGGAACUGCAUUGGUGACUGGCGGGCUAGAGUAUGGCAGAGGGGGGUAGAAUUCCACGUGUAGCAGUGAAAUGCGUAGAGAUGUGGAGGAAUACCGAUGGCGAAGGCAGCCCCCUGGGCCAAUACUGACGCUCAUGCACGAAAGCGUGGGGAGCAAACAGG
rnacentral:rRNA from 1 species